CGUGAAAUUGUUGAAAGGGAAACGAUUGAAGUCAGUCGUACCGAUGGGCAUUCAGCUCUUCGAGUGCGAUUGUGCGGGCGUUGAGGAGUUAAAACCCCUCGCGUUUUGCAUAUUUGUGCUCUUCGGGUGUACUUGCUCGUAUGGUAGGUUAACAUCAAUUCAGGUCGUCAUAAAAUGACGGGAGGAUUGUAGCUUCGAUCUCGUUUUGAAGUGUUAUAGCCUCUGGUAGAUGUGAUGAUCGGGAUUGAGG
rnacentral:rRNA from 1 species